GAUGAACGCUAGCGGGAGGCCUAACACAUGCAAGCCGAGCGGUAUUGUUUCUUCGGAAAUGAGAGAGCGGCGUACGGGUGCGUAACACGUGUGCAACCUGCCUUUAUCUGGGGGAUAGCCUUUCGAAAGGAAGAUUAAUACUCCAUAAUAUAUUGAACGGCAUCGUUUAAUAUUGAAAGCUCCGGCGGAUAGAGAUGGGCACGCGCAAGAUUAGCUAGUUGGUGAGGUAACGGCUCACCAAGGCGAUGAUCUUUAGGGGGCCUGAGAGGGUGACCCCCCACACUGGUACUGAGACACGGACCAGACUCCUACGGGAGGCAGCAGUGAGGAAUAUUGGUCAAUGGGUGCAAGCCUGAACCAGCCAUCCCGCGUGAAGGACGACUGCCCUAUGGGUUGUAAACUUCUUUUGUAUAGGGAUAAACCUACCCUCGUGAGGGUAGCUGAAGGUACUAUACGAAUAAGCACCGGCUAACUCCGUG
rnacentral:rRNA from 1 species